UUGACUGUGAUGCACUUCAUAAGACCGGUGAACUAGUAGUACAGUAACGUACACUAGGGGAAUACAAAUUAUAUACAAAUGAACGUGAGAAUAAAUCUUUUCGAACGGAAAACUCCUCGACAAGUUCAAGGAAGAUGCGUCUCACUCGCGUGGCUUUCGUCCUGGAGAUCUGGACCACCCGUUGACUUCGCGGAAGCUCUGAGGAAGAGAAAAAGAGAGUGAGUGCACCCCAUGACUACGAAGAUUCGAGAUAGGUAACGUGGACAAUGGAUUUGCGAUUGGAAGACGAGGCGUGUGCCAGGUCGCUCCUCGGGCGUGCGCCUUCCCCUUCCCACCUUCUGAUCUCUUUGUUCUCACAGUUGUGGAUUUUUUGUUGGGCCCAGCAUCAACUGCAUUAGAAUAUAAAGAAAACGUAAUAAGGGAGAGCGGAAAACCCCGGGAAUUACAGCGCUGCUCGAGCUUUCUACGGGUCCAUUGUAUCGUCUUUUGGUUUUUAUAGCCGACGGGACAAUGAGCCUGUCACUCUUAACAAAAUCCACCUCUUGGCCACACAAAUCGGACUUUUUGUUCUCUAGUAGGCUUUUCGGAAAUUUUUUCCUGUUGUUUCGGUGUUCUAGCAGUCGAAACUGCGCUUUGAUACAGUAAUAUUUGGAUAUCUAAUUUCAUAUAUCGCAGUCCAGAGAGUGAAACGAGGGAUGAAUAUUAGUUUUAUCACGUAAAUUUCAUCCCGUCCAACCCUCGUCUGGUUCCAUUAUUUGCGGAUUUUUUGCGGACAAUGAAGACGAGAAUUUUUACCACUGCAGUGUAUAUAUAUGUAACAACUGGAUGUGAUAAUAAUGUCGUGAUUCAUAAAUUUGUGAGAACGUGUUCUAAUAUUUAAAUGACCUGACAACAACGAACUCCGACAACGCGAUUGUGGAAAAACUAUUCCACUUAUUCUCUCAUAAUUUGCACCUUGACGUGCAUAUCAGUUGAUAAAACUCUGCACAUGUAUAUAACUCCAUUUCAUAUUCCCUUACAAGUAUUCGCAGUUGGUGGUAGUCGAGGAGACGUAGUAAAACUUCUUGCAAAAUGUACGCUCAUCAAGUAAUCAAUAUCGCAAUUAUUCUAAUUAUCGCAUUUGGUUCUGGAGAAUUGGCCGAGUGCAUGUUUUGUCCACCGGCCUGUCAGAAAGCUUGGCAUGAAGGUUGUCCCGACAUAUGUGGCAUGUGAGCUGCAGCUGGCCAGAGGGGGGAUUAUUUAUGCAACUGCUGGAGGAUUUAACAAUUUCAGUUGAUCACUAAAUUCACUGGAUAUUCGAAAUAUCACCGAAUCAGGCCUUCAGUAAAUAUGAAUGGAUUCCAUUAGGAUUACAUGGAUUCACACAGACAACAGUAGUCCCUCGUUAUCGGUACACUAAUAUCCUAUAAUCUACUUGCAAAAUGCUUUCAUCCUAUUGAAUUAAUCACACAUUCAUUCAAAAAAAAUAAACAGUAAUGCGUGAAUGUUAUUGUUGAAAUAUA